GGCCUGCCACGUGGCAAGAUCGCGUCACUCCGAAAGGAGCCACGUUGGCGAUCCGCGUGGGUGCGAUCCGACGGCCCAGAUCAAUCACGCGAUCGGACGGCCCAGAUUCAAACGCACGGACGGCCCAGAUUAAAACGAAAUGAAUGGCUGUGAUCAAAAGGCAAGGGGUUAUAAAUAGAACCCCCACACCAGACCACAAACCCUAGCCGCCAGCCGCUCGCCGGAGAAGACGAACCAGAGGCCGACCGCCGCCACCC
rnacentral:lncRNA from 1 species